AUGGUGGUCUUGUGAGGUGUCUUCCCGGAGCUACUGCUCACAGAGACAGGAGACGUAUCUGUAAUAUUGUUAAGCAAGCAAAGCAGGAAGGGGAAUUGGAUGUACUUGUCCAUCUAGGGACAAAUGACUUGGCUUGCAAUGAGGUUUCAGAGGUUAAGGAAGUUUUAGUGUUUUUGCCAAUGAUAUACGGCAGGUUGCUUCCACACUGUCAUUCUCUGAAGUUCUGCCUGUGCAUAACACUCAGAACGACAGGCGGAUGCGUAUUAGGGACUUUAAUUUGUGGCUUGGUGAAUGGUGUCGGGAGCAAGGAUUUGGCUUUAUUUCUCAUGGUAGCUCUGUUUGGAAUGGAGAUAAGCUGUACAAAAAAGAUGGUUUGCAUCUUUCUCAAAAGGGAACAAAUGUUCUCAGUGAGCAGUUCAGAGGUUUUGCUAGGAUGUAUUUAAACUAGGAGGGGGGGGCAAAAGGGUGAUAAAACAUCAAUCCAAUUGUCCCCCAAAACAAGGACAGAAGGUGCCUGUAGCAAGCGUGUUAAAAAAUGAUAAGCUUAGAGUCAUGUCUACAAAUGCUCGCAGUUUAGGAAAUAAGAUC